rnacentral:rRNA from 1 species
GACGAACGCUGGCGGCGUGCUUAACACAUGCAAGUCGAACGGAAAGGCCUGCUUUCCCUUGUGGAUUGCGGGUACUCGAGUGGCGAACGGGUGAGUAACACGUGAGUUAUCUGCCCCCAACUUGGGUAUAAGCCUGGGAAACUGGGUCUAAUUCCCUAUAGGACUGCAGGGUGGUUCCUGUGGUGGAAAACGAUUUUCUAGUGGUUGGGGAUGAGCUCGCGGCCUAUCAGCUUGUUGGUGGGGGAAUGGCCUACCAAUGCGGCGACGGGUAGCCGGCCUGGGGUAGUCGGCGGGCGAGUGUGACCUGAGACACGGCCACUGCGACUACGGGCGGAAGCAGUGGGGAAUCAUGCGCGAGGGGUGGAAGCCUGAGGGAGCGACGCCGAGUGGGGGAUGCCGGCCUUGGGGUUGUAGCCUCCGGUCGGCCGAGAGGAAGCGACCGGGUUGGAGGGGUGGUGACGGUAGUGGGAGAAGAAGCACCGGCUAACUACGUG